GGCGUUUCAGGCAGGUCUGGUUGGCAUGAUUAAGAUCUCACCUUUGGACAAGCCACUUCUGGACCACUUCUUUUUCAUCUGGUCCAGGUUGUGGAAGUCAGGUCGUCACCCUGGAACAACACCCUCGAACUGACUGAAGGUUGGGAGACAUCACUUAGGUUGGACCCUGACUGAACCGGAGUCUGGAUGUUGUCAAUACUCG